AUUGAACGCUGGCGGCAUGCCUUACACAUGCAAGUCGAACGGUAACGGGCCUUCGGGUGCCGACGAGUGGCGGACGGGUGCGUAAUACAUCGGAACGUGCCCGAUCGUGGGGGAUAACGAGGCGGAAGCUUUGCUAAUACCGCAUACGAUCUACGGAUGAAAGCAGGGGACCGCAAGGCCUUGCGCGGACGGAGCGGCCGAUGGCAGAUUAGGUAGUUGGUGGGAUAAAAGCUUACCAAGCCGACGAUCUGUAGCUGGUCUGAGAGGAUGAUCAGCCACACUGGGACUGAGACACGGCCCAGACUCCUACGGGAGGCAGCAGUGGGGAAUUUUGGACAAUGGGCGCAAGCCUGAUCCAGCCAUGCCGCGUGCAGGAUGAAGGCCUUCGGGUUGUAAACUGCUUUUGUACGGAACGAAAAGCCUUCUUUUAAUACAGGAGGGUCAUGACGGUACCGGAAGAAUAAGCACCGGCUAACUACGUG
rnacentral:rRNA from 1 species